AGCUUCAUGUAAUUAUAUGAAGUAAUACCUGCCCAGUGAUCUUUUUUUAACGGCCGCAGUACUUUGACUGUGCUAAGGUAGCAUAAUCAAUUGGCUUUUAAUUAAAGUCUAGUAUAAAAGGGAUAAUGAAAAUAAUGUUGUUUCUUAUAUAACUUAAUAAAAUUUACUUAAUAGAGUGAAAAUUCUCUAAUAUAAAAAAUAGACGAGAAGACCCUAGGAAUUAUAAAUUUUUUUGUUGGGGCAACAAAAUAACAAAUAAAAAAACUUAUUUAUUUUUUAUAUUUAUAAAAUAAAAAAUUUUUAAUAAUAAUUAAUUACCCUAGGGAUAACAGCAUAAUUUUAUUAAAAAAGUUUGUGACCUCGAUGUUGGACUAGGAAAUUUUAUUAUAAACAAUAAUAAACAUUAAGUUCUGUUCGAACUAUUAUUUCCU
rnacentral:rRNA from 1 species